rnacentral:ncRNA from 1 species
AAAUGGAAUGGGCAAACUCAGCCGAAAGGUGAGGACGCAAAGCCAUGGGUCUAAAGGGUUAGCUACCGAUGACUGCCAGGCUGCGAUU